AAGGCUCUUCGGAGUCUGUAAAGCACUGUUGUCAGGGAAGAACGCUUGGAUUUAAUAUGCUCGUUUCUUGACGGUACCUUACCAAAAAGCCCCGGCUAACUACGUGCCAGAGGCCGCGGUAAU
rnacentral:rRNA from 1 species